rnacentral:lncRNA from 1 species
AUUAAUUAAAUCCCAAAUAGACAGACAUACAAGAAUAAUAAAAUAAUUAAUUAAUUUGGAGUGAGCAAAGCUAGAGAGCCAUGGCUAUCUUAAUUUCAAAGAAUGCAUUGAUACUGUCAAUGAUGGUCAUGGCUCUGUAUUAUGGGGCGAGCAUGAGCAUGGCUCGUGUGGAAUUUGGGAAACCGCUGUGUCACGAUGCCAAUAGGAAUAUAGUUCCAUGUGAAGGAGGAGCAGCAGCACCACCACCACCACAACCCGUGCACACAAGUGUUGGAGAGCCCAUGUGUCGGGACGCCAACAUGAACAUAGUUCCAUGUGCAGGAACUGGAGCCGGAACCGGAGCCGGAGCACCGCCACCCCAAGUCUGAGAACCGUGUAGCGGUGUUGGGACACCAGGCCAUGCAUGUUCACAAGCAAAGAGAUCCAUCACCGUGGCCAUGGCUCUAUAUCUAUCAUCUAUUAUACUUCGUCCCUACCUACGUACAACAAUCACUACUACUUGAUGAGUUGAUGGGGGGAAAUUUUUCUUUUUUUC